CACGUAGGGCGCAAGCGUUGUCCGGAAUUAUUGGGCGUAAAGAGCUCGUAGGCGGUCUGUCGCGUCGGUCGUGAAAACUUGGGGCUUAACCCUGAGCUUGCGGUCGAUACGGGCAUCACUGGAGUUCGGCAGGGGAGACUGGAAUUCCUGGUGUAGCGGUGAAAUGCGCAGAUAUCAGGAGGAACACCGGUGGCGAAGGCGGGUCUCUGGGCAACAACUGACGCUGAGGAGCGAAAGCGUGGGGAGCAAACAGG
rnacentral:rRNA from 1 species